GUGAGGAAUAUUGGUCAAUGGGCGGGAGCCUGAACCAGCCAAGUCGCGUGAAGGAAGAAGGAUCUAUGGUUCGUAAACUUCUUUUGCAGGGGAAUAAAGUGCAGGACGUGUCCUGUUUUGUAUGUACCCUGAGAAUAAGGAUCGGCUAACUCCGUGCCAGCAGCCGCGGUAAUACGGAGGAUCCGAGCGUUAUCCGGAUUUAUUGGGUUUAAAGGGUGCGUAGGUGGUUUGAUAAGUCAGCGGUGAAAGUUUGCAGCUUAACUGUAAAAAUGCCGUUGAAACUGUCGGACUUGAGUGUAAAUGGGGUAGGCGGAAUGCGUGGUGUAGCGGUGAAAUGCAUAGAUAUCACGCAGAACUCCGAUUGCGAAGGCAGCUUACUAAGCUACAACUGACACUGAAGCACGAAAGCGUGGGGAUCAAACAGGAUUAGAUACCCCAGUAGUCC
rnacentral:rRNA from 1 species